rnacentral:rRNA from 1 species
ACACUCCGGUGGUAUGAGAUGGACCCGCGUCUGAUUAGCUAGUUGGUGAGGUAACGGCCCACCAAGGCGACGAUCAGUAGCCGGCCUGAGAGGGUGAACGGCCACAUUGGGACUGAGACACGGCCCAAACUCCUACGGGAGGCAGCAGUGGGGAAUAUUGCACAAUGGGGGAAACCCUGAUGCAGCGACGCCGCGUGAGUGGUGAAGUAUUUCGGUAUGUAAAGCUCUAUCAGCAGGGAAGAUAAUGACGGUACCUGACUAAGAAGCACCGGCUAAAUACGUGCCAGCAGCCGCGGUAAUACGUAUGGUGCAAGCGUUAUCCGGAUUUACUGGGUGUAAAGGGUGCGUAGGUGGCAAGGCAAGUCUGAAGUGAAAAUCCGGGGCUCAACCCCGGAACUGCUUUGGAAACUGUUUAGCUGGAGUACAGGAGAGGUAAGUGGAAUUCCUAGUGUAGCGGUGAAAUGCGUAGAUAUUAGGAGGAACACCAGUGGCGAAGGCGACUUACUGGACUGCUACUGACACUGAGGCACGAAAGCGUGGGGAGCAAACA